rnacentral:pre_miRNA from 1 species
UUAUGAACUACUUGGGAAUCUUGUUAAAUACAGAUUCUGACUGAGUAAAUUUGAAGCUGGUCCUGAUGAUCUGAAUUCCUAACAAGCUUUUAGGUGAUAUAGAU